UACGAAGGGGGCUAGCGUUGCUCGGAAUCACUGGGCGUAAAGCGCACGUAGGCGGGUUGUUAAGUCAGGGGUGAAAUCCUGGAGUUCAACUCCAGAACUGCCUUUGAUACUGGCGAUCUCGAGUCCGGGAGAGGUGAGUGGAACUGCGAGUGUAGAGGUGAAGUUCGUAGAUAUUCGCAAGAACACCAGUGGCGAAGGCGGCUCACUGGCCCGGUACUGACGCUGAGGUGCGAAAGCGUGGGGAGCAAACAGG
rnacentral:rRNA from 1 species